UGCGGAAGGAUCAUUACCGAGUGCGGGCCCCUCGGGGCCCAACCUCCCACCCGUGUUGCCCGAACCUAUGUUGCCUCGGCGGGCCCCGCGCCCGCCGACGGCCCCCCUGAACGCUGUCUGAAGUUGCAGUCUGAGACCUAUAACGAAAUUAGUUAAAACUUUCAACAACGGAUCUCUUGGUUCCGGCAUCGAUGAAGAACGCAGCGAAAUGCGAUAACUAAUGUGAAUUGCAGAAUUCAGUGAAUCAUCGAGUCUUUGAACGCACAUUGCGCCCUCUGGUAUUCCGGAGGGCAUGCCUGUCCGAGCGUCAUUGCUGCCCUCAAGCCCGGCUUGUGUGUUGGGCCCCGUCCCCCCCGCCGGGGGGACGGGCCCGAAAGGCAGCGGCGGCACCGCGUCCGGUCCUCGAGCGUAUGGGGCUUCGUCACCCGCUCUAGUAGGCCCGGCCGGCGCCAGCCGACCCCCAACCUUUAAUUAUCUCAGGUUGACCUCGGAUCAGGUAGGGAUACCCGCUGAACUUAAGCAUAUCAAUAAGCGGAGGAA
rnacentral:rRNA from 1 species